GGGCGCACUACGUUUGCGCGCAUUUGGGGAUUAAAAUGUUUUACGUUUGCGCGCAGCUUUUGAUUACAUUUGCGCGCAUUCAUUUAACAGGUAAACUCAGGUAAAAAUAUAAAUACAAAUUAAAUUUUAAUUGACUAUAUGUUUUUUUUAAUUUUCAUAAUAAAUAUGAAUAUCACUUUUUAAUUUUCAAAGUAUUUCUUAAUUCAAAUUAUAUAUUGUUC
rnacentral:lncRNA from 1 species